ACCCUCCACCAAGACGACCAUGCCAUCACUCACUCUUCUCUCAUAUAUUCUUAAUCAAUUCUCACCCCAAGUUCAUCAAUCCUUCAAAAAUCCGGGUUUAGGUACAAGAGAGAGCACGGCUGGCCUUGUCCAUGGGCAUUGUUGGCGACAACUCAGGGCCCAACAUAGAGGGGGCACCAGAUUUUAUCUUAUUGAUUUAAUAUUAUAUAUAUAUAUAACAUAUAUAUUUAAUUAUAUAUGUAUAGAGUGGAACGUGAAAUUUUUUUUCUUCAGAUUUCUAGAUGCAGAUCGCGUCUUUACUUCUUCUUCUUCUUCUUCUUCCAAUGUACAAUGGCAGACACAAAAUUGAUUAUCCAAGUGUCUCUUGCUCUCUCCCAAGUCCCAAACCUUGAAAUCCAGCAAUUUUUUUCUUUAAAUUAGUUUAAAUGGUUACUCAAUUCUUCAGUUCAUUCUCAUCCAUCACCCAAUCUUUCUCCUCUCCAUGUUUAUGUUAUUCUACGGUGAUUAUCUGCUCUCCAUCGAUGUAGGCUGAAGUGCAAAUCAAAAUAGGUGCAAUUGGAAGUUGGAGUUGCAAGUCAAUCUCGAUCAGAAAAGAAAGAACAAGAAGGAAUAAAGCAAAUUCCAGAUUUCCAGGUGCAAUUAGAAGUUGGAUUUGCCAGUCAAUCCCAAUCAGAAAAGAAAAAACAAGAAGGAAAAAAGCUGAUUCUAGAUUUGCAGCUUCAGCAAGAUAUCAUAUUUGGCUUGGGACUACAAUGCUAUUUUGUGCUACUUUUCAUGUUGUAAGCACCCUGUUCAUUUGGGGGGUCAGCCACCAUAUUCAAGAUAAGGUAAAAUACUAGUGCUUUUUCAAUUGGUUUUAUUGAAUAUAAAAUUUCAUUCACAUUACUGAUCUUUUGGUGUAAUCCAUUCAAUUGUAGAAAUGGCAGCAUACUGGGUGAAUAUAUCUAUAUGGCUUCCUUGUUGAAGCAUAUACUUCAUAGCAAACGGCCAUAAGUAAGUGCAUAUUCGAUAAUUUCAAUUUUUUUCCAAGUUAUUUUCUAUUUUUUUGUUCAACUUUUGAAUAUAGUUUUUCUUUUUUGAUUCAAGAAUUCUUCGUAAGUUUUACCAAGACACACGUUACCAUGUCUCUUAUUUGUGUGAUUGUGUCGAAGUGCUACAUUAUGUGUGAUCUUUUGGAUUAGCUAGGAGUUUUUUGUGGCAAGAAAAAAUUUGUAUUCUUUUUUAUACGGGGUUUUGGUUUUAUGUCUGUUGUAUAAUGUUUCUUUAUGUAAUAAAAUCGGCGUGGUGAUGAGUCACCAAACUUGACUGGGUUCCAAACCCCUAAAACAAAGAAUUUAGAUUAUGACUUUUGUAAGAAUCACUACAUGUCUAUUUAGGCUAGUUGGGCACACACAAAAAAUUUCGCCCUGAGCAUCAAAAAGCUCAGGACUGGCCCUGAGAGAGAGUGUAAUUCCAAGCUAGUCAUGCUCACUCUCUAGUGUUGGCCUCUCCCUCUUUUUUUAACUCUCUUCUUACUUUAAUUUCUUGUAAUUGAUGAAUUUCAUUGUGGGUAUGUUGAUGGAUUGUGAAUAGUUUCUUAGGGCUUGAAACCCUAGCAAUUUUCACCAUGUAAUGACAUUAAUUUUUGGUGCUCAAUGAAAGUGUGUUGUGGUUUUUGUUCAUGACUUUGCAGAAUUUUCAGUGAGAAUUUUGUUAUAGAAAUUAGCCAAUUUUAUGACUAGUUCUUAUCCUUAUCCUGAAAUUCAUUUAAUUAGUGGCUUAAUUAUGAAUGAGCAUGUUGUCAUGAGCAAAUUAUUAAUUUCUAAAAAUUGACUUAAUGCCAUUAUAUGCAUUUUAGUAGCCCUAGUCCGGUUUUAAUGUGUGUGUGAUGAGAAUUUGAAUGCCCUAACCCAGAUUUACAUUAUUUUUGUACUAUGAGAAUGUGAAUGCCCUAGUCCGGAUUUGCAUUAUCACUAUGAGGCCCUAAUUCGGCAUAGAGUUAGGGAUUGCGACCAUUUGCCUUUUGUUAUGUGCCAAAAUUUUGUUGUCAUGGUUAAUGAUUGUUAGAGUGGAUGUCUUAGUGCUCAAUUUCUUCCAUUGUUUUCCAAACCUUUGAAUUUCAAGCACUUUACUUUUUGUAAAUUUUAAUUUUCUAGUUUUUAAUUUACAAAACCAAAAAUCAAUUCCUCCAACUAUAUGCUCACAUUUUUCAUUGUAAGUACCAUAAGGCUUUGAGCCUCCCAAUUUAUUUUGGUGUGUUCUAGGCUACUUUUAGGCUUCGGGAGACCUAAGCCGUAUAUGUGAGGCUUGGUGUCUCACUUAACCAUUUUCUCAAUUUUACUUUUAGUUUAGCAAGUGACUUUUGUGAUCCAUAAACCAUUGGAUUUGAGUUAGUUUAAGUGUACUUACAUGAGUAUUUGCCUAAACCAUAAUUAGCUAUAAAAGAGCCACUCUCAUGGUACCGCUAGAGGUAUCAACAACUAUCAAGGGGGUGACCUAUGGAAACACCACCAAACAGGCUAUCGCUCGAACUCCGGCUCAGCCCGAGGUCGCAGGUGACGCAUAGCCAUGCGCCGCGCCAGAGUUACCUCGCUGAAGCAUUAGAAGCUGGGAAUAGAGGCAUAUCAGUCCCACAUCGAAAACAAGGAAGAGAUCAGUCUCUUCCUCAC